UUCUGGAGGGAAUCCCUCUCUGUUUAGCUCCUUGUCUCUGUUUUCUGUCCUGCAAAUUCUCACCACCCUGGUCUCUCUGGGUUCUCAGCUCCAUUUUCUAAAUUCAGAGGAUCUUCUGGCCUUUGCCUGGGUUCUCUACUGUGCUGCAGCUUGGAAACUCACGAGGUCAUGAGCUGGGGCAGUGGUAGGGCUCAACUCUUGUUUCCACUCUCUCAAGAAUCACUGUCCCUGAUAUCCAGCAUCGAAGAACCAGUUAUUCCAUAUACUUUGAGAAUAUUUUGGUUGUUGCAGGCAGAAGGAUAAAUCCAAUCUUUUCUUGCAUGGAAGGGAAGUCACUAACUUUUUAUGUUUCAGAUUUCUCUCCUGGAAUGUAGUGAUUAAAAGUCCAUGAUGGAAAAAUGAGGUGUAACACUCUUGUUUAAGCCAUUGUCAUAAAUACAUUCACAUUGCUAACAAUGUUAAGAAAUAUGAUACAGUCAUAUCUUUUAAGUCUUAUUUUCCACUUCAAAAUAUUAUUUAUAAUGUUUCUGAAAAACAAACUUCCCAUAAUUGAAACUCAUAGUAAUGACAUGUUUACCAACAGAAUAUUAUAUGUCUCUGCAUUUAGCUUGAUAAACUACAAAAUGUGUUAAUAUAAAACUCAGAUAAUAGAGCAGUAACCCUCCUAAUAGAAGUUGACCUUCAUAUGCUAGAAAAUCAAAUGGAGCAACAUUUUACAGAAGGUUAAAUGACCUGUUCUUCCAUUUCGUAUAUUCAUCACGUGCUCUUUACUGUUUUUCCUGUGCUGUUUGUCUCAGUUGGCUGUAGUGUUUAUUGAGACAUUUCUAGUUCUUGCAGAAUGUUCAUGGGUCUGCUCACUUAGGAAUCUAUUUUAGUAGUUAAUUAUAAUACCUUUAUUUUUGAAAAUACUGGUUGUGACCCUCUACAUUGCUUCCCUGACACAUUAAAUUGAAGUGGCUAGUUCUUGCAGAGUCCAUAGCUAUUUUCCUAUUCUAUUAUCUAUUUCUAUUAUUUUAAAAUUCUGAGUGUGACCCAUUCAUGACAUUGGUUUCCUAACACAUUAAAUUGUGUCAACCAACAGUUUGAAAAGUUGUCUGAUAACAGUAGAUUUUGUCCAACUGGCCAGGAUCAGACAGGCACCUAUUUGAAGCUAGGUAGGCUCCUGCUAGAACAGCUAAGAGUCUUAGAUUUAAAAAAGAAAAACAUUUUUUUUAAAGAAGCUUUGAAGCAUUGAUUAGCUAGUAUAAAAUCAAGGAAUUCUCAAGGAAGAAGUAAAAUGGGGUAUCUAGAGAGUAAAACAAACUCUGCUGCAGUUGGCUUCAGCAGUUAUUUGUUGACCAGAGCAACCUGACUUUGGUCUUCACAGGCUCUGGGGCAUGAUUAUAGCAAGCAAAUCUCAAAGGUCCUAAGUUAUCUACUAUGUGAUCUUCUCCCCAUAGAACCAGAGCCCAAAGGGCUGUACCCUUAGUAUAAAGAUGAAGUAGAAGUAAUCCUAGUCUACAAGGGAAUCACAAGGAGUCUGAACUUUUAGCUAAGGAGGAAAAUUACCACAAGGCUUCACAUUCACACAGUCUUGUAGCUUGAAUGCAUAGUAUUAGAUAUUUUGACUAAAACUUCAACCUGAGAAUUUACUUAGUGACCCUCCAUAAUGGUAGUGCCCCAUGGUACCUGGGAGAUGUAAAUACAGAUUCACUCUGGAAGAACGUACAUUCACCCCAGAAGGAAAUUCCAAACAAAAUGAGCUGCUUGAAGUAAAACAAAAAAACUUCCGUUUACAAUGAUCAGGAGGAAGAAUCAAUGAAACUACAACAACCUUCAGGGACUUUAGAUAAUGAAAUUAUCAGGGACAGACUGUAAAAUGAUCAUCUUGUUCAAUGAAAGACAAGACUGAAAAAUACAUGCAAGGAAUGAAUUAUAUAUCCAAUUAAAUACUAAAAGAUAACACAC
ensembl:lncRNA